rnacentral:rRNA from 1 species
UUCUUCCGUAUGGGGUGACCUGCGGAAGGAUCAUUAAUGAAUUCACUAUGGAGUUGUUGCUGGCCUCUAGGGGCAUGUGCACGCUUCACUAGUCUUUCAACCACCUGUGAACUUUUGAUAGAUCUGUGAAGUCGUCUCUCAAGUCGUCAGACUUGGUUGCUGGGAUUUAAACGUCUCGGUGUGACUACGCAGUCUAUUUACUUACACACCCCAAAUGUAUGUCUACGAAUGUCAUUUAAUGGGCCUUGUGCCUUUAAACCAUAAUACAACUUUCAACAACGGAUCUCUUGGCUCUCGCAUCGAUGAAGAACGCAGCGAAAUGCGAUAAGUAAUGUGAAUUGCAGAAUUCAGUGAAUCAUCGAAUCUUUGAACGCACCUUGCGCCCCUUGGUAUUCCGAGGGGCAUGCCUGUUUGAGUGUCAUUAAAUUCUCAAACUCACUUUGGUUUCUUUCCAAUUGUGAUGUUUGGAUUGUUGGGGGCUGCUGGCCUUGACAGGUCGGCUCCUCUUAAAUGCAUUAGCAGGACUUCUCAUUGCCUCUGCGCAUGAUGUGAUAAUUAUCACUCAUCAAUAGCACGCAUGAAUAGAGUCCAGCUCUCUAAUCGUCCGCAAGGACAAUUUGACAAU